CUAUUUAUAAUAUACUGCAGUAGGUAUACCUUACGAAUUUCAACGCCUCGUGUUCGAUAAAGCUUCUAAAAUAUUAAUGUACUAUAAUAUGUAUAGAUACGUUGCACAUUUCCAUUUACGGGCACAUAUUAAAUUAUAUAGGUACACGUGUAUUAGAACCUAGGGAGUAGAGGUUAUCAGGACUUGGGUAUAUGUAAUAUUUUUUAGUAACUGCUGCGGUGUAGGUAUAUUAUAAUAUACAUUUAUCGCUAGAAUUUGUUUAUAUAUACAUAGUUCAUCAUACAUUCACACCAUUGCUAUUUAACAACAAUAAAUGUAAAAAUAAACUCCACAGAUGCGUAUAAUAAUAUACACACAUAUAAAUUUAGAUCGAAAAAUCAGAAACUUCUUCACGUAUAGAGAAUAGUGAUAUAAAAAUUAACAAUGUGACUUCCAAAAGAAAAAUAAAUUAAAUCAUUUAGUCGAUGAAAAUCCAACCACAAAAUAUCACUACAUAAUAAUAUUAUAUAGACCACCCCGGAAUUUCAAUAAUUUAGCAAACACCGGUAACCAAAGACAAAGGACCCUUCCGGCCGUAUUUAAUGACUCGUGACCCGGUUUCCUGUGGUUAAAAAAAAAUCGAACAAAAAAUGGAUCACUGGGUCUAUAUAGUAGAGAGUGAUAAAAUCCCGUGCUUAGAAUAUUCACCGCGGAGAGGUCAAAGAAGCCACACCCUGAUGUUUGUGUAUAUAAUUCAGGGCGUUGCGUUUCAAAAGGAACCCUUUAUUGCAACGCGUAUAUAUAAAGCGCUCACGAUGUUUUCG